ACUCAAAUGAAUUGACGGGGGCCCGCACAAGCGGUGGAGCAUGUGGUUUAAUUCGAUGCAACGCGAAGAACCUUACCUACUCUUGACAUGCUAGGGAUCCUGAAGAGAUUUAGGAGUGCCCGCGAGGGAACCUAGAGACAGGUGCUGCAUGGCUGUCGUCAGCUCGUGUCGUGAGAUGUUGGGUUAAGUCCCGUAACGAGCGCAACCCUUGUCCUUAGUUACCAUCAAGUAAAGUUGGGUACUUUAAGGAGACUGCCGGUGAUAAACCGGAGGAAGGUAGGGAUGACGUCAAGUCAUCAUGGCCCUUAUGAGUAGGGCGACACACGUGCUACAAUGGGAAGUACAGAGGGAAGCGAAACUGAGAAGUGAAGCCGAACCUAAAAAGCUUUUCGUAGUCCGGAUUGGAGUCUGGAACUCGACUCCAUGAAGUUGGAAUCGCUAGUAAUCGCAGAUCAGCACGCUGCGGUGAAUACGUUCUCGGGCCUUGUACACACCGCCCGU
rnacentral:rRNA from 1 species